AGGACGAACGCUGGCGGCGUGCUUAACACAUGCAAGUCGAGCGGAAAGGCCUUUCGGGGUACUCGAGCGGCGAACGGGUGAGUAACACGUGAGUAAUCUGCCCAUCGCUUCAGGAUAGCCAUCGGAAACGGUGAUUAAUACUGGAUAUGACAUUCCUUCGCAUGUUGGGGUGUGGAAAGUUUUUUCGGCGGUGGAUGUGCUCGCGGCCUAUCAGCUUGUUGGUGGGGUAAUGGCCUACCAAGGCUUUGACGGGUAGCCGGCCUGAGAGGGUGACCGGCCACGACCGUGGGACUCGGAGACCA
rnacentral:rRNA from 1 species